rnacentral:lncRNA from 1 species
AUCAUCACUUCGCCCAACCAUUCCAGACACAGAACCACUCCGUCGAACUAUCGGUGCGUCGAUCGACGAUUGCUCAUCACGAUUGUACCGGUAAUAACACCACUACGCAAGAUGUCCAUACCUACUGCAGAUUUGGCACUAGACUUUCAGACGAAACGAACGCCCUCGACCUCGAACAGACGAACGGCCUCCGCCAUGAAACGGACCAUCAGUGGGUGAAAGGGGCGACCCCUCCACCGCAUUCGCAGCAACCAACACCUCUGGAGCAGACCGGACUUGGCAGGCUUCACACUUGAGCAAGGCAUCGAUGAUGCGUUGAAAAGACAGCAGGCUCGUGGAGAGAGAGACAGACGAAAUGAUAGCAUCAAACUCAGAGGAGAGACCGGCAAGAAGAACCGCCGUCCGUUCAUCCUCCGAGAUUUGAGAUCCCGAUGCUGCAAGAAGAACGCACAAGCUUGUAAUCUUAUUCACAUACGAACGAAUUGAGAGGCUACCUUUACGGAGAGAAUGAAGCUCAUGGCGCAACUGUGAUUGCUUCGCACUGGAAUCAGCCACAAACAAAUUGGUCGCCACGAUCCAAACAUUACGAGCAGAGCGCACAUCCGUAAAAGAGGACAGAAACGAAAAGCUGAUUGUCGAUAACAACCAAGAGGUAAGUAAACUGUCUUGUUGUUCAAAGACCGAAACAGCCGGAUUAACAACAAGAUCUCCAUUGGAGGAUUGAACAAAUCACGCCAGAGCCGCCAACGAGCCAUCAAGAAGUCCAAACAGUCCGUAGCCACGAAGAAUCAGUCAGACCUGCUGCUGCCAUUGAACAAACGAGCCUUCAUCCAGCUUGACCACCUCAUAUCGAGGAAAUGAGGUGACCACGCGAUCACCAAGGAACACUAAGCCAUGAGGCUCAACAGAGUCAGAUUCAGCACUGUGCGUGUUAGCCAUGCCCAUGGAUCACCGAGCGACUGAUACCAUGAUAGAACACUGAAAGAAUAGCAAAAUAGAACUAUAGAGAAGACAAAUUAUUCUCAAGGUAAAUAAAUUUAACUCACCCUUUAAUCUGUUUACAAUACAAGCUUCUAUAGAAGAAUCAAGUCUAAACUGCUACUAACAGAAAUAUAACAAAUACCAGCUUGUAACUGUCUGCCUAACCUCUAAGCUAUUUACACACUAAUCACAUGUGGAUUUGAUACUAUAAUACUGUGUUUCUGCUUGAACUUGUCAACAAUUUUCUGGUAGAAGAUUACAUAUCUAAUAUGACGUUUAACUUGGUGGAAGAUACCUUUCACAGUCUCGGAAGAGACAUUGGCAGCAGCUCCAGUACCAAUAGCUUCCAUUUCUUUUCUUUUUUUUUUGCUUUGGGGUUACAG